rnacentral:lncRNA from 1 species
AAACAGUAUUUAAUUUCAUAACAUGAGUACAAUCAGUCAGAUUAAAUAAAAGUAAACAGUACAAUGGGCGUGGGAUACAAACUAAGCUUAUCCAAAUGACCUCUCCGGAAUGCCAGGCAAAAUAAGAGGCAAUCCAGUCUGCUGCACUGUUCGCCGCUCGAUACACAUGUGCUAUCUGGCAGGAGAACAACUCUCGCAUCAAUCUACGGGUGUCUCGUAUCAAUGGGUGGCCGUCUCCGUCCCUAUCCGCUCUUCGGAUCCAGUCAACUACCGUGGAGGAAUCAUCCUUGAGAAAUAGGCUGUCAACCUCAGCAUCUGUCUCGUAUACAAAAUACCUUCCCCCUCACCCUCUUUUGAGAAUCCAGAAGGUGCCGCUGGCCUCGGCCACUUUUUCUCACAAUGGCCUAGUACAUGACCUGGACAUCAAAAAUGAAGGAUUG